GGGAAACUUGUGAGAAUCAGGAGAGACUUGGAUUUUAUUACAUAUGACUUAUUAUAAGGGCUUUAAAAUAGAUAGCAGCAUUACAUAACAGGUAAGACCAAGGUUCCAAGACAUCUCUAACAAUUGGUCAAAGGUUUCAGGAAGUGGAUAAUCUAGAGCAGCAAUCUAACAAUAGCAGCUGUAACAGCAGCAACAUCGUGCAUAGCAUUGUUCUGGUUGGUGAGUGGAGAAUUCCCAGAGAAGUCACUCUCACAAUAGGUAGCCUCAUUGGCAGCAUCAUUAGCCCCAUUUUCAGCAAACUUGGGGUCCCCUUUCUGCAGAGCCUCAGUGGCUUGUGCAACAUCAGCUACCAACACUGUGUGGUAUCUACUAGCACAAGAACUGAGGACUUCUUGCUGCUUAGCUCCUCCUCCCUUCUUUUGCAAGUCAUGGAUUAUUUUCAAGGUAUCAUAUGCUUUGGCUUUGAUCACGUUUACCAUGAUAAGAGCCAGCCCUCUGACAUCAGCAGUGGAGCUUCCAGGGCUUGCCUUGAGAUAUUGAAGGCAAAGAUUGUAGUUGGGAGUCUUCUUGCAAGUGCUCUCUAUCAGACUUUCAUCGUUUGGAUGGAAGCUUCUGCACUCGCUUCCUGGUAUUGUAUUCAUAACAACAAUGGCUUGGAGAAACAAACAUAGAAUCACUGCUUUCAAGUUUGCCAUUGUGAUUUUUUCAAAGAGAUUGCUCACAACAGUAGCUUGGUUCCUCCUCAUGGAUUGCUGCUACCCCUUUUUAUAGUCAGGAGUUCAUGUUCUGGACCUGCCUCUCACUUUAUUUUUUCCACCAAGAUAGUUUUUAUUAUUUAAAAUUCAAAUAUUCUUAGUCAGUGAAAGUUAUUGAUGAUUUUAAUUUUUAAUAAAUUUAAUCAAUAAUAUAUAUUAAUUUAGGAGAGGAUAAUAUAAAAGAAAUUUAAUAAUUAUAUUAAUGACAAACUGAUUAUAAUUAAAGAUAAUCAGUAUCAAUUAUAAUUAUGUAAUUAUAUCAUAUGAACAGCUUUUAAAGUAACAUUUCUUUUAAUAUAUCUAAUACCUAUACAUUUUUUCAACGUACGUUAUGGCUUUUCAAACCUACUUCCUGCAUUAAUACUAAUUUUACAACUUUGAAUAAAAAAAUGUGGAACUGUCAUCUUUUAAAAUUGUUUAUAAUCAUUACUUUCUGUAUUAAUUAAUACUAUUUUUUCAACUUUGAAUGAAAAAAAAAAUUGUUUAUCAUCGUGAUUCAAAUUUGCUUUCUGUGAUUAAACAUCCACCGUUGUAUGUUGGCUCGAUAAUUUUUUUUUUAUUGGCUUUCAAAUUCAAUCCUAAGUUACGAACAAAAUCCUUAGAAUUAUUAAUUGAAAAUUAUUUUUAAUCACUUAAAAUUGAUAUAUUAUGUGUAUUUUUUUUUCAAAUUUUAAUUAACGAUUUUGACACUAUUUGUACUGGUCGGGAUCGAGUAAGUCAGAUCACUCGAUCUUGAUUUACCAACCGACCGAAUAAUCAACCACAUUAAAGAGCAAAUUGAUAAUGAAUGAUAACUAAGGAAACAUUCAUAUAAAUUUGAGUCACACCCUACCAAAUUCGGGUGACACCCCGAAAAAUCAGUUAACAUUGAUUUACUAAAGAUAUGCUCCAAGUAUACCUUCCUAGAAAUUUGGAUGACAUUCCGAGAAAUCAGCUAACACUGAUUUAUUGAAGAUAUGCGUACGAUAUGACCCAUCAAGCAAAUAACUCAUUACCAAACACUAUAAACAAUUCUUCUACAAUGGAGUGAGGUGCGCUCUUAUCAGUUUUGAUAUCCUGCACUUUCAAUUAAGAGUACUUACUUGAUCGUCAGAGAACCUUCUGCAGGUUUACUCCCGAUCGAGCGCUCAAGAGUUAAGAAGUGUAAGUGUUGAAGUCUGAAGGUGUGAAAGAACUGAAGAACUGGAAUACAAGGGAGCACGACCGAACGAUCGACACCAACAACAAUAGAGACAAACAAUUUUAGGUACUAUCUAUGCCCACUUUGUCUAUAUAAGUACAAUUGGUGUCCCCGCUUGUCACCAUUCGAAGUUGGCACCAAAUCAUUUAUAGGGACGAGCCACCCCAACCAUUUCUAGUGACCUCUUAUGUCUCUUCACCGCCUGACAGUGCAGUUAAUUCAAUACAUUGGUUGCACCAGGGUCAAUUUGAGCCAUAAUUUUUGCAAGUUAACAGAAAAUUAAACACGCAAUCAACAAAUUGAAUAAAAGCACCAACAAGUUAAACACUUAGUAUCGGCAAAGUCUACCCAUUAUGGGUUGAUUCGUAUACGACUAGUAUUUUUUUAGUAGGGAGCCUAUUGAAAGCAGGUCGAAUACCCAAAAUACAUCCUUAUCUUAAGGGGUCAUGGAUGAUCUCGACCAUGAUUUGUAAUGAGUGGGCGACCAAGUCCAAUGAAAAGAAAAUUUAUGAUUCCCAUUAGAAUCAUAAAGUAGGGAUUGUCGUCAGGUUUGAUGAAGAUUUUGAAAUACCUCUUCUUGAAAUUCUUAUAGGAUGAGGUAUAGGGAGCAAAAAGAAUGUUGCCUGAAGGAAUUGAGAAAGAAAGUCAACCCAAGAUGGGAGAAUUAUAAUAAAACAAAAAAAGAUUGUGGGGACAACCUCAACCGAAAGGCAUCACUAAUUCGCCUAAAGGCCUGGAGGACCGCCCACGAAUUUGGAUGUAACUAGGUAUGAACAACGUUGAGGAUUUCAAGGACUCCCAUUUCAAAUUCAUCAAACGGAAGAGUUGUGUAAAUCGUUAAAAAGGCAUGUGUAUGCAAAGAAAAAGUCCUAAGGACCAUUUUCCUAACGUGAUAGACCCAAUCGGUGUGAUUACAACUAUCGGCUACAACCACGUCCGAUGUGGAGUUCGAUUUUAACAUAGAAACUUUAGAAAGAAACCCAUCUAAAGUAAAGGAACCCAUAAAACAGGUAGGUAUAUCAAGGGCGCGUGGGUCAACCCACUCAUAACUAGGAUAGUGAGGCAGGCGGCUAGCAAGGUUGAUCGCCUGGUUAGAACAACCCACAUCCCUCACCUCGUUAGGAUUAGAAUGUGUUUGUUUUGAUGAAGAAGAAUAAAAAGGAAUGCUAGAAUACCCAGAAGAAGAAUCUAUUAUUAACCUCUUGAAGAACAAAUGCAAAGAACAAAGGUGAAGAGUAACUUUGAAGCACUCAAACAAAGAAGGUCAGUACUCGGACAACUUUGAAGGCUCGAAUUCAGAGCAAGAAGAUGGACACGUAGCAAAGUUCGAAAAGGACUCCUAUUUAUAGAUUUUUGAAAAUGAAAUAACGAAAUGUUGUCUCCUUUAAAACGUUAGAUUCGUUUCAAUCCAAGGGUGUACAACGUUCGAACUCGAAAUGACACAAUUUGAUAGACUAUUAGAUCUCUUCGAUCAAAAGGUGCAAAACUCGAAGUAUCCAACAAUCACAUCUAGACUCUUCUGAAAUAAGCUUCAUCAACCCUGUGGGACAAGUGUAUCAAUCGGGGCCGAGUGAGCCACAUCACUCGGCCUUGAUUGACCGACCGACCAGGUAAUCAACCACUUUAAAGAACAAAUUGACAACAAAUGAAAACUAAGGAAAAAUCCUAUAAAUCCAGGCCACAUCCCUCCAAAUCCGGAUGACACCCUGAGAAAUCAGCUAACACUGAUUUACUGAAAAAUAUGCUCCAAAUAUACCUUUCUACAAAUCCGGAUGACACUCUGAAAAAUAAGCUAACAUUGAUUCAUUGAAGAUGCAUAACCCAUCAACCAAAUAGCCCAUUACCAAACACUAUAAAUAAGCCUUCUAGUUUUACACUCUCAAUAUAAAGUACUUACUUGAUCAUCGAAAAACUUUCUAUAAGUUUAUUUCUGACCGAACAAUCAGAAAAGUCAAAUUCUUCCACUAACUAUUACUAUAUGCACAAAAGAAUGUGUGCUACCGGAUGGCCGAAGAGCCGACUAGCCGACACGUGCUACAGCCAAACACGUAAUUAGACGUGAAUAAACCAGAUUAAGCGCAAAGCAUGGUUAAGGUGCAAUUGGGCCUUCAAUUGGACUUAAAAGCAGGCCCAUAACAGCCAGAGCCCAUCCAGAGCAGUAUAAAUAGCAAGAGAGGUACAACACCCAAGGUAAUUCACUCCCUACUCCUCUGGUACCUAACUCUCGAACUGACUUGAUCGUUGGAGUGUCUUCGCAGGCACACUCCCCAUCGUGUUCAAAUAAAAGGAAGCCAACCGAGAGACUGGAAAAACGAGAAGAUUACAACAAGAAGAAGUGUUCUGCAGGGUUCUAGCUUGUAGGAACAUUUUGGCGCCCACCGUGGGGAAGAAAGGAAACUCCACGAAAUAUCCGCAUGGUAACUACAAGGAACAUGAGACAGGAAUGCGCAGGAAGAAACUAGUCACCCAGAUCCUAUGGCACUUAUCUUGAAAAUACAAAAAGAGAUGGAGAUGUUGAAAAAUAAAAGCAAGGAAGAGAUAAAAGGAAUAAAACGAAGGGGGGAGGAGGAGAUGGAAGCUUUGAGAAAGGAGAAUGCUCGAAUGAAACAAAGGCUCGUUGAGAGAUCGGACAUCCCAGAAACAGUGGGUGACAUCCCCCCGAACAAAAACACGGAUACAGAUAUACACAAGGUCGGGAGUUCAUAUCAAGAAAAUACCAGACCGGCCUCAGCUAAUGCUUUUGGCACGGCUCCUCGAAGAACCCCUUUUGUUGAAGCCAUCCUGGAGGUGCCUUUGCCGGGAACUUGGAAUAAUCCAACAUUGGAUACGUAUGAUGGAACCACAGACCCGGAUGAACAUGUGAAUGUGUACCUGACGCAAGUUAGCCUGCACACAGCAGAAGACGCGCUAUGGUGUCGAAUAUUUCCCACCUAUCUUAAAGGAGCAGCCUUAAGUUGGUUUACUCAACUACCGGCUCAAUCCAUAAACUGUUUUGACACGCUCGCAAUGAGGUUCGGAGCUCAAUUCACUACCAGUCGACCACACCACCUCACUUCGAUCGCCCUAGUGAAUAUUCGUCAAGAAAAGGCUGAGUCCUUGAGAGCCUUUAUAGACAAAUUCGGCAAGACAACUUUGGACAUACGAAACCUAAGUCCCGAAGUGGCGAUGCACCAUAUGGUGACCGCACUAAAGCCGAGACUGUUUUCAGAUAGUUUAUGCAUGCAGUCAGCCACGACAUUGGAUGAGUUGCGCUAAAAGGCCAUCAAAUACCUGCAGCUGGAGGAAUUGAAAGAAUUCUGAAACAAGGCUCGAACACCUGAUGAACCCGAAAGGAGGGGUGAUAGAGGCAGACCAACACAAUUCGGGAAGCCUAGAGACUUUCCUAAAGGUCUGUGUUUUACCCAUUACACCCCCUGAAGGCUGAAAGGUCGAGAGUCAUGGAAGAAGCCCUCAAUGCCGAUCUUCUUAGAGCACCGAGCAGAACUCCUACACUGCAGAAUGCAGAUCAGACCAAGCAUUGUUGGUACCAUCGCAACUUUAGGCACACGAAGGAAGAUUGUUGGGCCUUGAAAGACAAGACUGAAGAACUCAUACAAGCAAGCCAUUUGCGACGUUUCGUCCAAACAAAUCAAUUCAUUUAAAAAAUAUUAAAUUAAUUCACAUUUAUUUAUUAUUUUAAUAUUUAUUUAAAAAAUCAAGUUAAUUAUAUUAUAAAAAACUAAUUUAUUAAAAAAAAUUCAAACUUUUUUUUCACAAUUUUAAAUAGAAAGUAUGAACCUUAUUUUUUCUCGAUUAAUAUAUUUAUUCUUUUUUGUUGAAUUUCAACAGACCAUAAAUAUUUAUUAAAUUAUAUAUGUUUCAAUAGUUACCUUGAAAAAUGUCCACUUUAAGGAGUUGUAUGAAAACAACAAUGUCUUGCGAUUAUCUAAUUAGUUUAAAUGUGUUUAAUUUAUCAACAAAAAGGUUCAAACAAAUUACAUUAUAUGGAUACCCAUUUAUAAUAAAGUUGUUAUCUAUCAAUCUUUAUAAACAUUUAUAUUUGUUUUUUCAUGUGACUUGUCUCCAAAUCUAAUAGCCCUAAACACACCCGUCACAUGUGAUGAUGAUCAUUCAUAAAUUCACAAGUUCAUAAAUAUGUUUCAUUCUAUUAAAAAAAAAUACCUACUAAGUAACUCUAUCAAACCCAUCACCAACAAUACGAAGAAUAGUCAAAAAGUUAUUUACAUUUCUAUUUACUAAAUUACGUUAAUAGUAUCUUAUCGUAAAUUGAUAAUUGAUUUUAUAAAUGUAACAAAUGUUUAUAAUAAAGUUUUUCUAUUCAACCAAUCUAAAAAUUGAAAUAAAUUUUACCACCAUAUUGGUCGAAGCCAAAUGAGCCAUAUCACUCGACAUCAUUGACCGUCCACUGAAUGAUUAACUAUAUUAAAAAUUAAAUCAAAGAUAAUUGACAAGUAUGAUAACAUCCUACAAAUCGGGAUAACCUUUCUAUAAAUCUGGGUUGGACCUCGCUAAAUCUGGGAGCUAUGAGAUAAAUCAGCUAAUACUAAUUUAUUGAAGAUACGAUACGACUCAUGAAUAAAAUAUUCCACUAUCAAACACUAUAAAUAGGCCUUCUUCGUAAGAGAAUAAAGUACGCUUUUAUCAACUUACAUCAUACACUCAAUACAAAGUACUUACUUGAUCGUUGAAGAAUCUUCUAUAGGUUAACUCCCGAUCAAGCAUUAGGAUUUGAAGAGUUAAAGCUCUAAGGAGCACAAGAGGAGCGAAAGAAAAACGAUCAUGACAAGGGAGUGCAUACGGGAUGAGUGACUGACACCAACAACAGUUGUUACUGCCAGUUCCAAAUACUAUCUAGGCUCCCUUACUCUAUACAAUUACAAGAACUAAGCAAAAUCAAUGACUAAAAUGAUGCAGAAAUUUUUCUUCAAGCCAUUAGCAAAAGCAAAUGAAAAUAUCCAAAUCUUGACAUGAAAAUGAGAUAGAAAAUGAGGAAUGCUACUAGUCAAAACGCAAUGUUAGAAAAUUAUGUAAAUUAAUUUAUAAUGUGACUCAUAUGAAAUAGAUUUUGGACUUUGGUUCUGAAUAUUAUUUAAUAAAAUAAAAGACCAAUUGUUUAAUGUGAGAAGUUUUAUAUAUAUAUAUAUAUAUAUAUAUUAUGAUACCUAAUGAAAACCUAAUCUGAUGGAGAUUGAGAAAGAAUAGAAACGGGUUUUGUCUCUGCAAAGUAAGUUUUUCACGGUUAACCAUCAAGAAAGAACGUGAAAAGAAAGGAAUUGCAAUAGAUAUAUUGAGAAAUGGAGAUAAAAAGAAACUGUUCACAUAGGGACUCUCAUGGAUCAAGGUAAGUGUCUAUCUCUAUUAUAAUCCAAUGUAUAGAAUGUGAGAAUUAUAGUUGUAAGAUCCUUAUGAUGAUAUGCAUUAUUGUUCAUUAGUGUACGCUUUGAUUUUACAUGUGGUAUCAAAGCAUGCUUGCUCAAAUUUAUGAUUCUACAUGAAUGAUGUUUUACCCAAUUUUAUGAACCUAAUUUUAAAAUUAUGAAUAUUGUAAAGAAAAUAAUAUCAUUUGAGGAUAAUUUUCAUGGUUUAAUUUAUCCUUUUAUUUCUGUUGCAUUAUGAAUUGAUUUGAAAUUAAAUUAAUCAAAUCUCAAGUUUUUCGUUGCAUCGUAAAUCAUGAUUUUUUUUUGUUUUUAUUUGAAUUCAAGAGGGAAAGAUUACGAUAAAUAAAAAGGAAUAACAUAAAUAUAUAUUUGUAUAUUUUGUUGAUGAAUUUUAUUUCAAUUAAUAUAUUAUUUUUUGAUUUAUUUGUAUGAUAGAUUAGUAAUCACUAAAGUGAUCAAAUCUUUAUGUUUUAUUUAAUUUCAAAUGACUGAUGAAUUUUAUUUCAAUUAAUAUUAUUUCUGGACAUAUUUGUAUGAUAGAUUUGUAAUCACCAAAGUGAUCAAAGCUUUUUGUUUUAUUUAAUUCCAAAUUAGUGAUGAAUUUUGUUUCAAUUAUUUAUAGAAUGGAUGCUAAAUUAUUUAUUUAUGGGUUAAUUAAAAUUCAUUAUUAUAAGGCAUUUGUGGAUCACCCAAAGGUUGAUUAGUUGUUAUUAUAAUUAAUGGAUAUGAUUGUUGGUACUGAGUAUGUGUUAUAUUAUAGGGCUUGGAAAAGGUCAAGCAAACUAAUCAUGAUGUUUAUAUGAAUGAGCAUAACAAGUAAUAUUAAGUUUGUUCUUCACAAAAUUGAAAGUGCAAAAGAAUUCACGAGAUUUGUGGAAGAGCGCUCCCAAAAUACUGAUAAGUCUCCUGCCAGGACAUUAAAGAGUACCUUAACUACCAUGAAAUUUGAUAGUUUUCGUACUAAGCAUGAACAUGUCAUUGAGAUGACAAAUAUUGUAGCAAGACUUAAAUAUAUUGGAAUGACAGUGGAUAAAGUUUUUCUUGUGCAGUUCAUCUUGAACUCAUUACUGUAUGAGUAUGGUCUUUUCCAAAUGAACUAUAAUAUCAUGAAAGACAAAUGGAAUGGUCAUGAAUUGUACAUUAUGUUAGUUAGGAAGAGAGCAAACUUAAGAACCAAGGAAACCACUCCCUUAAUCAUGUGAACAAUCAGGGAGCUGGAAAGAAAGUUUACAAGAAACAUGGAAAGGCUAAAUGACCGUUAAAGAUAAAUGAGUCCUCUACUAAACUCCAGAAGAAAAAUGACAAAUGUCAUUUAUAUGGGAAAUCUGGAUAUUUCCAAAAUGAUUGUCUGAAACGUAAAGCUUGGUUCGAAAAGAAAGGAAAACAUAAUGCAUAUUAUGUAUGUUUUGAAUCAAACUUAACAAAUGUUUCACAUAAUUCUUGGUGGAUUGAUUCUGGAUGCACAACUCAUGUUUAUAAUAUGAUGCAGGGAUUCCUUUCAACCCGAACCAUAAAACAAAAUGAAAAGUUUGUCUUUAUGGGGAAUAGAGUGAAGGUUUUAGUGGAAGUUGUCGGGACUUAUCGUUUAAUCCUUGACAUUGGAUUUUAUUUAGAAUUAAUGGAUACUUUUUAUGUACCUAGUAUCUUUAGAAAUUUGAUUUCUUUGUCUAAACUUGAUGUUGUUGGAUGCUCUUUUAAAUUUGGGAAUGGUUGUUUCAGUUGGUAUAGGCGUACUUAUUUAAUUGGAUCUAGUACUCUUAAUGAUGGUUUAUAUAAAUUGAAUCUUGAUAAUUUAUAUGUUGAAAUUGUUAUGACAUUGUAGCAUAAUGUUGGCACUAAACGUAGUUUAGUGAAUGAAUGUUCUGCUUUCUUGUGGCAUAAACGUUUGGGACAUAUUUCUAAAGAAAGGAUGGAAAGAUUAGUAAAGAAUGAAAUACUUCCAAAUUUAGAUUUUACUGAUCUGAAUGUAUGUGUCGAUUGUAUUAAAGGCAAACAAACAAAGCACACAAAGAAGGGAGCCACGAGAAGCACUCAACUUCUUGAAAUUAUACACACUGAUAGAUGUGGACCUUUACAUGUAAAUUUUUUCAAUAAAGAAAGGUAUUUUAUCACCUUUAUUGAUGAUUUUUCAUGUUAUGGUUAUGUCUAUUUACUGUAUAAAAAAUCUCAAUCAAUGAAUGCCUUGGAAGUUUAUAUAAAUGAGGUGGAAAGGCAAUUACACAGAAAGGUGAAAAUUGUUAGGUAAAUUACAGGUGGUGAAUAUUAUGGAAAAUAUGAUGAAAGUGGAGAACACCCUGUUUUUUUUAAGUUCUUUGAGAAACGUGGUAUUUGUACUCAAUACACAAUGUCAGAUACACCACAACAAAAUGGUGUGUCAAAAAGGCAUAAUCGAACCUUAAUAGAUAUGGUUAGGAGUAUAUUAAGUAAUUCAUCUUUACCUGUAUCAUUAUAGAUGUAUGCUUUUAAAACUACCAUGCAUCUGUUGAACAUGGUUCCUAGCAUGACAGUUCAAAAGAUACCUUUUGAAUUAUGGACAAGUACGAAACACAAUUUGAGACACCUGUAUGUUUGGGGAUGUCAAGCAAAAAUUAGAAUAUAUAAUCUGCAAGAAAAAAAAAAUUGGAUGCAAGAACAAUAAGUGGAUAUUUCAUAUGUUUUACUAUCCUACCCAUAGUACAAAAAUUGUUGAAACUGGAAAAUGCACGAUUCAUUGAAAAUGUUCAAACUAGUGGGAGUGAAGCUUCACAAAAUGUGGAGAUUAAAGAAGUUAGAGUACAAGUUCCUUUAACUAGUACCUCUACUUCAAGUAUUGGUGUUCCUAAUCUAGUUAAACCACUCAAUGGUAAAGAAGAACAACAAAUUAAUGAUAAUGAGGUUAACAAUGAACCUGUAGUAGAACAAUCAUAAGAAAUAAUAUUAAGAAGAUCUCAAAGAGAAAGAAAGUGUGCUAUUUCGAAUGAUUAUGUGGUUUAUCUACAAGAGUCCGAAAAUGACUUACAAUGGUGAUAAUUCUAAUAAGUGGUUAGAUGCCAUGAAAUAUGAGCUUAAAUCAUUGACAUACAAUGAUGUACGGGACAUUAUGGAAUUGCCAAAAUGAUAUAAAAGAGUUGAGUGUAAAUGGGUCUUUAAGUCUAAGCGUGACUCUCAUGACAAUAUCGAACAUUGACAUGUAACUGUCAUGACUCUUAUUAGUUUUGUAUCCUUGAUUUUGAGGAUGAUAGAACCAAUUUACGCAAGGCCUUUCAAUGCCAAUUAUGAUUUAUAUAAUUAUUAAAUCAUGAAAGUAUUAUAGCUCAUAUGAGUAAAGUGGAAGAAUGUUAUAAAAUUAAUUUUAUAAUGUGAUUCAUAUGGAAUAGAUUUUGGACUUUGGGCCUGAAUAUGAUUUAAUCAAAUAAAAGACUCAUUGGUUAAUGUGAGAAUAUAUAUAUAUAUAUAUAUAUAUAUAAAUAAAUAUUACGAUACCUAAUGAAAACCUAACCUGAUGGAGAUUGAAAAAAAAUAUAAACGAGUUUUGUUUUUGCAAAUGAAGUUGCACACGCUUAAAAGAACGUAAAAAGAAAUGAGAGAUAGAUUGACAAAUGAAUAUAAAAAGAAACUGCUUACAUGAGAACUCUCAUAGAUUGUUUAUCUCUAUUAUAAUCUGAUAUGUGGAAUGUGAGAAUAAUAGUUUGUAAGAUCCUUAUGAUGAUGUGGAUUAUUGUGAGUAUCAGGAGAGACUUGGAUGUUAUUACAUAUUACUUAUUAUGAGAGCUUUAAAAUAGAUAGCAGCAUUACAUAACAGGUAAGACCAAGGUUCCAAGACAUCUGUAACAAUUGGUCAAAGGUUUCAGGAAGUGGAUAAUCUAGAGCAGCAAUCUAACAAUAGCAGCAGUAACAACAGCAACAUCGUGCAUAGCAUUGUUCUGUUUGGUGAGUGGAGAAUUCCCAGAGAAACCAUUCUCACAAUAGGUAGCCUCAUUAGCAGCAUCAUUAGCCCCAUCUUCAGCAAACUUGGGGUCCCCUGCCUGCAGAGCAUAAGUGGCUUUUGGAACAUCACCUACCAACACUG
rnacentral:lncRNA from 1 species